rnacentral:rRNA from 1 species
ACGCUGGCGGCAGGCUUAACACAUGCAAGUCGAACGGUAACAGGGAUUAGCUUGCUAAUCUGCUGACGAGUGGCGGACGGGUGAGUAAUGCUUGGGAAUCUGGCUUAUGGAGGGGGAUAACUACGGGAAACUGUAGCUAAUACCGCGUAAAAUCUUCGGAUUAAAGGGUGGGACUUUCGAGCCACCUGCCAUAAGAUGAGCCCAAGUGGGAUUAGGUAGUUGGUUAGGUAAAGGCUGACCAAGCCGACGAUCUCUAGCUGGUCUGAGAGGAUGACCAGCCACACUGGAACAGAGACACGGUCCAGACUCCUACGGGAGGCAGCAGUGGGGAAUAUUGCACAAUGGGGGGAACCCUGAUGCAGCCAUGCCGCGUGAAUGAAGAAGGCCUUCGGGUUGUAAAGUUCUUUCGGUGACGAGGAAGGUUGGUAGGUUAAUAGCCUAUCAAAUUGACGUUAAUCACAGAAGAAGCACCGGCUAACUCCGUGCCAGCAGCCGCGGUAAUACGGGGGGUGCGAGCGUUAAUCGGAAUAACUGGGCGUAAAGGGCACGCAGGCGGUGACUUAGGUGAGAUGUGAAAGCCCCGAGCUUAACUUGGGAAUUGCAUUUCAUACUGGGUCGCUAGAGUACUUUAGGGAGGGGUAGAAUUCCACGUGUAGCGGUGAAAUGCGUAGAGAUGUGGAGGAAUACCGAAGGCGAAGGCAGCCCCUUGGGAAUGUACUGACGCUCAUGUGCGAAAGCGUGGGGAGCAAACAGGAUUAGAUACCCUGGUAGUCCACGCUGUAAACGAUGUCGAUUUGGGGAUUGGGCUUUGAGCUUGGUGCCCGUAGCUAACGUGAUAAAUCGACCGCCUGGGGAGUACGGCCGCAAGGUUAAAACUCAAAUGAAUUGACGGGGGCCCGCACAAGCGG